GGGGCUGAUUAUGGAUUUGACGAAGAUAAUUGAUAUUUUGAAUGCAUAUCAAGAUGCGGUAGGUCUUGUAAAAAACCGUUAAAAUAGUAGUUGGAAAAUAUAAUAGUGGUUAUGCAUUAGCAGCCUAAAAUGCUGUUGUGCUCCUUUUUUAUACAUUCUCUUUGUGUGUAAAGAUAUAAAGGAUUUAUUUAAAGAGAUAACGUAAUGAAUAAUUACUUUGAUUAUUGUACGUAAAUUUAAUUUCAAAGUUAAUUUAUUAUAUAGUUUGUCUAUAAACAUAUUUUAAAUGAAUUUAGAUAUAGACUAAAUAUGUAGUAUUUUGGAUAUUAGUUUUUUUCGGACGCGGGUUCGAAUCCCGCCAGCUCCACCA
rnacentral:tmRNA from 1 species